GUGCCAGCCGCCGCGGUAACCCCAGCGCCACAAGUGGUCAUCGCGAUUAUUGGGCCUAAAGCGUUCGUAGCCGGUUUGGUAAAUCUCUUGUGAAAUUGUUCGGCUUAACCGGACAGCGUGCAGGAGACACUGCCUGACUCGAGACCGGAAGGCGUAAGAAGUAUUCCAUGGGGACUGGUAAAAUGGGAUAAUCCAUGGAAGACUACCGAUGGCGAAGGCAUCUUACGAGGACGGAUCUGACGGUGAGGAACGAAAGCCAGGGGAGCGAACCGGAUUAGAUACCCCUGUAGUCC
rnacentral:rRNA from 1 species